rnacentral:rRNA from 1 species
UACGAAGGGGGCUAGCGUUGUUCGGAAUUACUGGGCGUAAAGGGCGCGUAGGCGGCGAAUCAAGUCAGGCGUGAAAGCCCCGGGCUCAACCUGGGAAUUGCGCUUGAUACUGAUUUGCUUGAGUUCGGGAGAGGAGAGUGGAAUUCCCAGUGUAGAGGUGAAAUUCGUAGAUAUUGGGAAGAACACCAGUGGCGAAGGCGGCUCUCUGGACCGAUACUGACGCUGAGGCGCGAAAGCGUGGGGAGCAAACAGG